GGGAAAUGUAGUUCGCGGGAUCCAUAUAAAUAUUGGAGAGAUCCAAUUCGACUUCCUCUUUAUCGUACUGGCCUGUGGGAGACAGGCACUUUGAUCCACCAUGCCCGUUGCCAGGAGUUGGGUUUGUCGCAAGACAUACGUCACCCCCCGCCGCCCCUUCGAGAAGUCUCGUCUCGACCAGGAGCUUAAACUUAUCGGGGAGUAUGGUCUGAGGAACAAGCGUGAGGUGUGGAGGGUGAAGUUCACCCUGGCCAAGAUCCGCAAGGCCGCCAGAGAGCUGCUCACUCUGGAUGAGAAGGACCCCAAGCGUCUUUUUGAAGGUAAUGCCCUGCUCAGGCGUCUGGUGAGGAUCGGUGUGCUGGAUGAGGGCAAGAUGAAGCUCGAUUAUAUCCUGGGCCUGAAGGUGGAGGACUUCUUGGAGAGGAGGCUCCAGACGCAGGUUUUCAAGUUGGGCCUUGCUAAGAGCAUCCACCAUGCCCGCGUUCUCAUCCGCCAGAGGCACAUCCGAGGGCCUCACAAACGAUAGCUCAUCCCUGAGUAUGGUUUAACAUUUCAGCAAGGUCAAUUCGGUAACAAACCGUAUACCUUGUCAAUGACUGCCCAGGGCCAAUCCUGCCCAUCAAGAGUAGGCAAACCAGUUUCAGCAAGGUCAAUGCAGUAACAGACUGUACACCUUGUCUAUCAGACUGCCCAGAGCCAAGCGAGAGGCAGACUGCUACUGUCCUAUUUGCUAACAGUGUGCGCAAGCAGGUAGUCAACAUCCCCUCCUUCGUGGUGCGCCUGGACAGCCAGAAGCACAUUGACUUCUCCCUGCGUUCACCAUACGGUGGCGGACGCCCCGGCCGUGUCAAGAGAAAGAAUGCCAAGAAGGGCCAGGGUGGUGCUGGGGGAGCUGAUGAGGAAGAGGAGGAUUAAAAUGGAGGCUGACUGACACUUCCUGUUUUUCAAUAAUAAAAACAUUUGACCACAAA